rnacentral:rRNA from 1 species
GGGUCAGUAGGUUGGUCGUGCCACCGGUACGUACUGGUCUAACUGAUUCCUCCUUCCUGAAGAACCGUAAUGCCAUUAAUUUGGUGUUGCGGGGAAACAGGACUGUUACUUUGAAAAAAUUAGAGUGUUUAAAGCAAUCUAACGCUUGAAUACAUUAGCAUGGAAUAAUGAAAUAGGACGAUCGAUCCUAUUUUGUUGGUUUCUAGGAUUGACGUA